rnacentral:rRNA from 1 species
AACGAUCGGGCACCGAACGCGUGCACUUCUCCUCCUGUAGGACGUCGUGACCCGUUGGGCGCCGGCCUAAGGCCCGCGGUGGAGAUCGGACGCCUUUGGCGCGUCCGGACCCGCGGUGUCCCGGCCGGCACGACCGACGGUAUAACUACGGCGCGGGGCCGCGACCUGUUCGCGUCCGGCGCGCCGCAAGCGCGAACGG